AGUUCGAUUCUGGCUCAGAUUGAACGCUGGCGGGAUCGCUGCAUGCAAGUCGAACGGCAGCACGGACUUCGGUCUGGUGGCGAGUGGCGAACAGGUGAGUAACCUCCGGAACGUCACCUAGUAGCGGGGGAUAACUUCCACGCGAAAGCGUAGCUAAUACCGCAUACGCCCUUCGAAGGAAAGCGGGGACCUUCGGGCCUCGCACUAUUAAAACGGCGAUAUCGGAUUAGCUAGUUGGUGGGGUAACGGCUCACCAAGGCGACGAUCCGUAGCUGGUUUUGAAGGACGACCAGCCACACUGGGACUGAGACACGGCCCGGGCCUACAGGGAGGCAGCAGUGGGGAAUUUUGGACAAUGGGGGAAACCCUGAUCCAUGUCCGCGUGUGCGAUGAAGGCCUUCGGGUUGUAAAGCACUUUUGGCAGGAAAGAAACGGCUGGACCAUGCGUGCAACUGACGGCAGAAAUGGCACCGGCUAACUACGUGCCAGCAGCCGCGGUAAUACGUAGGGUGCAGAAGCGUUAAUCGGAAUUACUGGGCGUAAAGCGUGCGCAGGCGGUUCGGAAAAAAGAUGUGAAAUCCAGACAACUUGCUGGAACUUCUUUUUUAACUACCGAGCUAAAGUCGUGUCGGAAGGAGGUGAAUUCGCGUGUAGCAGUGAAAGUAAAUGAAUAUUCUGGAGGAACACCGAUGGCGAAGGCAGCCUCCUGGGAUAACAUGACGCUCAUGCACGAAAGCGUAGAGCAAACGGGAUUAGGUACCCUGGUAGUCCACGCCCUAAACGAUGUCAACUAGCUGUUGGGGCCUUCGGGCCAUGGUAGCGCAGCUAACGCUGGCGUGAAGUUGACCGCGGGAAAUAGGUCGCAAGAUUAAAACUCGAGAAUUGACGGGGACCACUUUGCAGCGGUGGAUGAUGUGGAUUAAUUCGAUGCAACGCGAAAAACCUUACCUACCCUUGACAUGUCUGAGAUCCAGAAGAGAUUUGGGAGUGCUCGCAAGAGAGCCGGAACACAGGUGCUGCAUGGCUGUCGUCAGCUCGUGUGUCGUGAGAUGUUGGGUUAAGUCCCGCAACGAGCGCAACCCUUGUCAUCGAUUUGCUACGAGGGCACUCUAAUGAGACUGCCGGUGACAAACCGGAGGAAGGUGGGGAUGACGUCAAGUCCUCAUGGCCCAUAUGGGUAGGGAACUGCGUCAUACAAUGGUCGGGACAGAGGGUCGCCAGCCGCGAGGGGGGAGCCAAUCCCAGAAACCCGAUCGUAGUCCGGAUCGCAGUCUGCAACUCGACUGCGUGAUCGGAAUCGCUAGUAAUCGCGGAUCGGCGCAUCGCGGUGAAUACGUUCCCGGGUCUUGUACACCGCCCAUGCACCAUGGGAGUAGGUUUUACCAGAAGUAGUUAGCCUAACCGUAAGGAGGGCAGUGCACCACGGUAGGAUUCAUGACUGGGGUGAAGUCGUAGCUAAGAC
rnacentral:rRNA from 1 species